CUGUUCGUGAUCUCGCUUGAUUUCGUAAUUUUAUAUUGCCUUUCAAUCCUUGAUAUUUUUCUUUAUUUAUUAUUUCCAAAUGGGCUUUGAGAAUUUGUAAUUAAUACGGAAUUGAAAAGGCAUAAAAGGGUUAUACAGAGGGAUAAAGCUCGACUCGACUUGUUAACUCAUAACAUUUAUGCAUCAAGUCAUUGAUUUAAGUUGCACGUACCUUCAGCUUCCUUAAAGUCGGAUACAUCAUUUGAAUUGUUGUCUCCAAAGUAUUUAGCAAACCGCACAAUUUCAUUGAGGUAAUUUAAUGUACAAAUAAUGUCGUCAAAAAUGGAACGCUCACAGGGAUGUACAAAUUCGUCCACUACAUUUGAGAC